rnacentral:rRNA from 1 species
UACGGAGGGUGCGAGCGUUGUCCGGAAUCACUGGGCGUAAAGGGCGCGUAGGCGGGCGGCCAAGUCGGGGGUGAAAUCUUUCGGCUCAACCGGAAAAGUGCCUCUGAUACUGGUCGCCUCGAGGGAGGUAGGGGUCUGCGGAACUUCCGGUGGAGCGGUGAAAUGCGUAGAUAUCGGAAGGAACGCCGGUGGCGAAAGCGGCGGACUGGACCUCUUCUGACGCUGAGGCGCGAAAGCCAGGGGAGCAAACGGG